UGGUUGGUGCUCGAAAGAGAGCCGUAACACAGGUGCUGCAUGGCUGUCGGUCAGCUCGUGUCGUGAGAUGUUGGGUUAAGUCCCGCAACGAGCGCAACCCUUGUCAUUAGUUGCUACGAAAAGGGCACUCUAAUGAGACUGCCGGUGACAAACCGGAGGAAGGUGGGGAUGACGUCAAGUCCUCAUGGCCCUUAUAGGUGGGGCUACACACGUCAUACAAUGGCUGGUACAAAGGGUUGCCAACCCGCGAGGGGGAGCCAAUCCCAUAAAGCCAGUCGUAGUCCGGAUCGCAGUCUGCAACUCGACUGCGUGAAGUCGGAAUCGCUAGUAAUCGUGGAUCAGCAUGUCACGGUGAAUACGUUCCCGGGUCUU
rnacentral:rRNA from 1 species